rnacentral:ncRNA from 1 species
CGCGUAUUUUGCGAUGGCGGAGCUCGACCGCCGGUCGCGGAGAUGAUCGCCUUUAUCGACGAUCACCGAAAGGCUCUCAACAGGGUGCACACCUUG